GAUGAAUGCUGGCGGCGUGCCUAACACAUGCAAGUCGAGCGGUAAGGCCCUUCGGGGUACACGAGCGGCGGACGGCUGAGUAACGCGUGGGAAUUUGCCCCAAAGUGAGGAAUAACUGCCCGAAAGGGUAGCUAAUGCCGCAUAUGGUCUUUGGAUUAAAGGAUUUAUCCGCUUUGGGAGAAGCCCGCGUUGGAGUAGGUAGUUGGUGAGAUAAAAGCUCACCAAGCCAACGAUCCAUAGCUGGUCUGAGAGGAUGACCAGCCAGACUGGAACUGAGACACGGUCCAGACUCCUACGGGAGGCAGCAGUGAGGAACCUUCCACAAUGGGCGAAAGCCUGAUGGAGCAACGCCGCGUGCAGGAUGAAGGCCUUCGGGUUGUAAACUGCUUUUAUGAGUGAAGAAUAUGACGGUAACUCAUGAAUAAGCACCGACUAUCUACGUGCCAGCCGCCGCUGUAAGAC
rnacentral:rRNA from 1 species